UGAAAUCCUGGAGCUCAACUCCAGAACUGCCAUUGAUACUAUCUAUCUUGAAUAUUGUGGAGGUAAGCGGAAUACGUCAUGUAGCGGUGAAAUGCUUAGAUAUGACAUAGAACACCCAUUGCGAAGGCAGCUUACUACGCAUAUAUUGACGCUGAGGCACGAAAGCGUGGGGAUCAAACAGGAUUAGAUACCCUGGUAGUCCACGCCCUAAACGAUGGAUACUCGACAUACGCGAUACACUGUGUGUGUCUGAGCGAAAGCAUUAAGUAUCCCACCUGGGAAGUACGUUCGCAAGAAUGAAACUCAAAGGAAUUGGCGGGGGUCCGCACAAGCGGUGGAGUAUGUGGUUUAAUUCGAUGAUACGCGAGGAACCUUACCUGGGCUAGAAUGCUGGGAGACCGUGGGUGAAAGCUCACUUUGUAGCAAUACAC
rnacentral:rRNA from 1 species